AGGAAAUUUGAGAGGAGCUGUCCUUAGUACGAGAGGACCGGGAUGGACAUACCGCUGGUGUACCAGUUGCGCCGCCAGGCGCACCGCUGGGUAGCUACGUAUGGAUGAGAUAAACGCUGAAAGCAUCUAAGUGUGAAACUCACCUCAAGAUGAGAUUUCCCAUUCCUAUAUGGAAGUAAGACCCCUGAGAGAUGAUCAGGUAGAUAGGUUGGCAGUGGAAGUGCAGUGAUGUACGGAGCGGACCAAUACUAAUCGGUCGAGGACUUAACCAAG
rnacentral:rRNA from 1 species